CGGACUGUCAAUCAAAUUGUAAAAAUCACAAGACCGCUUAACUCUAUGGUUUUGGCUCCAAAUCGAGAAAAUGGCCGCGCCCGCCAUUGAGCUUCAAAACGUGUUUUAGAGACCCACGGAGAGUCAAUGGGUGACGUCACAGUAGCUGUGUCCAUAUUUUUUACAGUCUCUGAUCUUAACCCAAUCUCUCCUGGUCAACACACUUUCCCCUUACGUCACAUCCUUACUAGGGUAGUCUUCCAACUACUCUCGGGAAAGUAAUACAGUGCCUCCUAGUGGUCAGAAUACACUCAACCUGUAACAUCUAUUAUUGAACACAACAAAUUGCAUGGUAUGAAACGGGAAUGAACUAUUUUUUCUUGAUAAAAUCAUUGUUUUCAUAGAACUUACGACCAGAGAUGUUUGCUUAACAACGGUGCGACUAGAACUACAAACCAGAGUGUCUGCAUAAGGACGGUCCAAUUAGAACUACGAAGCAGAGUUUUGCUUGACAACGGUAAGAUAAUAUGCCCAAACGCCCGCAGAAGAACAUUUCACGUCCAGCUGAUUAAAUCUAUAAAAAUCAAUAAAUAUAAAAGCAAACUCAUUGUCAUUGUUGGUACACGGCAUGAAAUUGAUGUGAAAUUACAGGGAAAUUCCUACAGUAAUCUGCUGUUUUAUUGAUAUACGGCACAUUGCUUAAGACAGAACAGCAUUGUGGGCGUUUUGCUCUUAACUGCAUAACACCGUUUGAAUUUUCAGUAAUUAACUGGAAAUUGCUAUGGAUAUUGGGAAGCCGUUGGUUAGUAGUGGCGACAGAGAAUUUGCUAACAAAGCAAUGCCAAGUUUCGAGUGUCACACCUAAUAGGCUACGCGAAUUUAAAAGCAACCCUGUACUUUGAGUAUUUUUUGUUGCAGCUGGCUAGAGUGUCGCCGGAUUGUGCAGGUAGGCUACGUGCGUUUCGAAUUCAUCAAACUAGUUAGUAUCAUAACGGCCAAUCAUUCGCCAGCGAUAGCUUAGUAUGAAAGCAUGUUUACAUGUCAGUAUUGUGGUCACCAAUGCUUAACGAAGUAUGCGUUUGUUAGGCAUAUGAAAGUACAUGCGAGUCUUCCAACCGCGUUGUUUAAAUGCGCCUUUUUUGAUUGCUCCCGUUCGUUCAGAAACAUGACGCAGUUGGAAUGUCAUGUAUAUCGAGAGCAUAAAGAUAAGAGGAGAGCACAGGUAACUGCAAUCGAGUGUGUAUCUUGUCAUGUAGAAUUUUGCAAUGUUAGAUGCAAUGAUUUAUCCAGUUUAAACUCUCAUUUGAAAUCUCAUAUCGGAGAGGGCAGGGCCGUUUCUUGUCCAUUUCGUCAGUGUGGGAGAACGUUUUCAGUCGUCUCUUCCUUUAUUUCUAAUUUUUCCACAGUACACAAGUCUUGUACAGUAUCCAGUCUUCUGGGCCAUGUAACAGUAGGAACAGAGACGAGACUAACGGCAACCAAUGAACAAGUUGAGGAUGUUUCAGUGUUGGAGGGGGAUUUGACUGACGACGUAACGUAAGUGAUGAUAACGAGGGAGACCAAGCAGCGGUGCUGCCAGAGAGAGCAGAUGAAUCCCUUUUCUUGAACAAUUUGGCUUUCUUUUAUUUAAAGUUGCAGGCAAAACUUUUACUGCCAGCAUCAGUCAUACAGUCUAUUAUUGAGGAUUUUCAAGCAGUGCAUGAUAUCAGUCAGUCUCAUUUACUUCAUAAGUUGGACGAAAAGCUGGUAUCAUUGGAUAUCUCUGACCGUGAGAGAGAGAGGUUCUUAAAUCCGAGGAUUUGUUUCGGGCAUGCAACACUGGUACCUUGAAAACUGAUCAAAGACAAAAAACGGUUUUUAAAAAUCAGUUUAGAUACAUUGAGCCAGUCCCACCUUAUCUUGGAAAGAAUGAUAUGGGAUCACAGAGUGGCUUUAGUGAAAACUUCAGUAAAGGCACCCAUUUCUGCAGAUUAUGUACUAGAGCCCGACCGAUAUAUCUAUAAUAUAUUAAUAUAUAUUAUAUAAUAAACAAAAAAAAAAACGAUGAUUAUUUAUCUGUACUUGUCUGCUUGAACGUUGUAAUUGCUAUUUACUACAAUUAUCCAGUAGAGGGAGCUCUAAUACAAGUGUGAACUGCAGCAGCUGACGCGCUACUUCUCUAAUAAGACGUUUGUUACUCGUGCCUCAUCCAAUAUUCUCCACUGCAAGACUUGUCUGCACAGAUUCGGUUGCGGCAAUAAAGGU